GGCCGGCCCGCUGUAACGUGAGGCUCCCGCUGCUGCUCCAGGGCUCAGACUGGUUGCCAAGUCCACGCUUUGGGCUAAAAGAGGCACUGCCAGGUGCAUAGCCCUGGGCAUGAGCCUUUUGAGCUGCGGGGGAAAGCCCAGCACUGGUCCCAGGAAAGGUGCCUAGAAGAAUACAACACAGAGCCACCGUGAGAUGGAGCCCGGACGUGGAGGCCUGUCAGUGCUGCCCCUCUGGCCCCGGACUAGGCGGCAGCCUGCCCUGUGGCCCACCCUGGC